rnacentral:siRNA from 1 species
ACCAUGGAUCCCACGUUGUCGGA